rnacentral:rRNA from 1 species
UACGUAGGCAGCAAGCGUUGUUCGGAGUUACUGGGCGUAAAGGGUGUGUAGGCGGCUAUUUAAGUUUGGUGUGAAAUCUCCCGGCUCAACUGGGAGGGUGCGCCGAAUACUGAGUGGCUAGAGUGCGGGAGAGGAGAGUGGAAUUCCUGGUGUAGCGGUGAAAUGCGUAGAUAUCAGGAGGAACACCGGUGGUGUAGACGGCUCUCUGGACCGUAACUGACGCUGAGACACGAAAGCGUGGGUAGCAAACAGG